GCGGGCGUAGUUCAAUUGGUAGAACCUGAGCGUCUUCCUUCUUCGUUUGUAGCUAAGACCUGGAGAAGGUAAUGAUACCCAGAUAUGUCGGUUCAAGACCGACCGCCCGCU
rnacentral:tRNA from 1 species